rnacentral:tRNA from 7 species
GGAGGCGUGGCUGAGUGGUUGAAAGCGCCGCUCUCGAAAAGCGGUAUGCCGGAAACGGCAUCGGAGGUUCGAAUCCUCCCGCCUCCG